AAAUACAUUUUCAAAAUUAUCUAUUACUAGGUCCACUGGUCUCCACAUAAUGAAACUAUUCUGGCUUCAAGUGGUACUGACCGCCGCCUGAAUGUGUGGGAUUUAAGUAAAAUUGGGGAAGAACAAUCAGCAGAAGAUGCAGAAGAUGGGCCUCCAGAACUCCUGGUACGCAUUGGCUUAUAGAAGAUGAAAUGUCAUAUGCAGAUUGGAUUGUCAUUGAUCUCUUUAUUUCGAGAAUGGGUCAGAACUUCGAAUUCUAGCUCUUGCAGAUGGUUUCAAAAUGGAGGCCCUGAAGGUUAUUGCAACUGGGCUUUGACAUUUAUCAAAAAUAGUAAAUGGAGCCCAGUAGGUUUUUAUGAAUGUUUCACUGAGAAUGGUUUGAGGUCCUGGAAAAUAGUAUAUAGUAAUUUCUCACUGAUUUCAACUCUGGUAUUUGUGAUGGUUUGGGGAUGGGGAGUGAGUAUAAUUGCUAUUCAGUUGGCAGUACUUAACAUUUCCUAACAGUAUAGAAAAAAUUUUAAAUGCUUUUUAAGUUUCCUGCCCAGAAAAGGAGUGCUUUCUCAAUCUUGAUGUUAGCAGAGCCCACUAUCUCCCUCCCAUGCCUGAUUGAAGCAUCACGCAUCUCCUUGGCCCUUUGAAAGCUUAUGUGGUGGUAUCUGCCCAUCCUCAUUCUUCCCGUCUGAGUCCUUCAGUGCUCACUUCGUCAUUUUUCUAUGAAGCAUUGCCGGAUUUAGCAAUGGUUCCCUGUCCUUGCUCUGAAUCCAACAUUUGUCUCCUCCCAUUAUUUGGCCGAUAGUCACUCAUCACUCUGUCAUUUACGAUUUUAGUUCUAAUGCCAGUACUCAUUUUUGGCACACUUGUACUUUGUCCAUGAGUUUUAUUUAUUCAUUUUUUCUGUGAACCUAUGGAGUAUAUUGAAUGUCCACAAGUUUUCAAAGGUAAAGAAGGUCCUUGAGAGCAAGCCCUGCACACAGAAGAUGUUCACUAAGCCCACCUUGUAAGAAUGCUCCAGACCCUUUUAUUUUGAUGACGGCUUUACUGAGAUAUAAUUUACAUACCACACAGUUCACUUCUUUAAAGUGUACAGUUCAGUGGGGAGGGAGUGUUCUUGGGUUUUGGGGGUUUUUUUUCUUUUUUUGUUCUUGAAGUCAGUGGUUUUUAGUAUAUUCAUAGACUUGUAAAACUAUCACCACAAAUCAAUUCUAGAACAUUAUUCAUCCCCUCCAAAAGAAACUAUAGCUAUCACCUCCCAAUUCUCUUCUUCCUCCAGCCCUUGGCAACUACUGUGCUACUUUCUGGCACUAUAAGAUUGGGCUAUUCUAGAUAUUUCAUAUAAAUAUGACUUUUGUCUUUUGGGACUGAUUCUUUCACAUAGUACAAUGUUUUCAAGGUCUCCAGCUAUUUUUUUUAGGGAGAAAGGAAAGCGUAUUACUUUGUAUAUUAUGCCUCUGCAACAAUUCCAAGGUCCUUGAGAAAAUACACUAGGAUUUUGCUUUUUACAAGAGAGCUUGAAAUCAAGGGACAUUUGAGAGUAGUAAACUGGGCCUGGGCAUGGUGGCUCCUGCCUGGAAUCCCAGCACUUUGGGAGGCCAAGGCAGGUGGAUCACGUGAGCCCACAAGUUCAAGACCAGGCUGGGAAACAUGGCAAAACCCUGUCCUGUCUCUACCAAAAAAAAAAAAAAAUACAUAAAUUAGCCAGGUGUGGUGGCGCGUGCCUGUAGUCCCAGCUACUUGGGAGACUGAGGUAGGAGAAUCACCUGAGCCCGGGAAGUUGAGGCUGCAGUGAGCCAUGAUCACACCACUGCACUCCAGCCUGGGCAAUGGGAGUGAGACCCUGUCCCAAAAACAAAGUAGUAAACUAUUCCACCAGUAUGCUUUGAUAACUCCUGUAUGUUUUCUAAGCCCCAGUGAUCUUAAAAUAUAUUCACCUGUGUACCCCUUAAGAGUACUCUCUCUGUCGCCCAGGCUGGAGUGCAGUGGUGCAAUCUCAGCUCACUGCAACCUCUGCCUCCCGGGUUCAAGUGAUUCUCCUGCCUCAGCCUCCCGAGUAGCUGGGACUACAGGUGCGCAACACCAUGUCCAGCUAAUUUUUGUAUUUUUAGUAGAGACAGGGUUUCACCAUGUUGGCCAGGAUGGUCUUGAUCUCUUGACCUCGUGAUCCGCCCGCCUCAGCCUCCCAAAGUGGUGGGAUUACAGGCGUGAGCCACCACACCCGGCCAGUAUAUUCACUUGUGUACCCCUUAAGAGUACUUUAAAAAGCUAUUUACCUCUUUUUUUUUUAAGUCAAGGUCUGGUUCUGUCACCCAGGCUGGAGUGCAGUGGCGCAGUCUUAGUUCACUGCAACCUCCACCUCCCAGGUUCAAGCUGUCUUCCCAUCUCAGCCUCCUGAGUAGCUGGGACUAUGGGCACACCCCACCACGCCCGGCUAAUUUUCGUAUUUUUUGUAGAGACGGGGUUUUGUCAUGUUGCCCAGGCUGGUCUUGAACUCCUGAGCUCGAGCCAUCCGCCUGCUUUGGCCUCCCAAAGUGCUGGGAUUACAGGCGUGAGUUUUACCCAGCCCCACCUCAUAUUUUUAACCCGAUAAGAUUAUUCGGUAAAAUAGAUACAUUGCAUAAUACCUAGUUGGCAGGCAGAGACCUCAUUGUCAAACUAGAGUCAAAUCAGACUUUGUCAGAAAGUGUGAUGUCCCAGUUCCAAACAGUGUAUUUAGUACUGUCCUUGUGAAGAAGUGUUUCGUUUAAAUCUUAAUUCUAAGAUAAAAAAAUAAGGCAUAGUGCAUUCCGACGAGGUUGUCUCUUGCGGGGAACAACUGCUCUCUUCAGAAUUGUUUAGCAAAGCUCUCACCUUAGGCAUAGCUUAUGAGGGACUAUCUGGAGCUAUGCUUUUGGAGCCAGGGAUUUUCUUUCACCCUGGUGCUGUCUGUGUACGUUGGAAAGAUGGGCAAGAAGUAUGCCUCUCUCAGUAAAGUGGAGAGGGGAAGAACCAGAAGACUCCUCAGGCCCCUUGUAUAAUAGAAGAGUAUGUUACAUGGCAUAUAACGGAUUGAUUACCUUAGAUGUUUGCACCUAACUGUAUAUGAGCAAAUGAUGCUGGAUUAAUGUUCAUCAUAAUCAGUAUGGAAAUGGCAUUUUGACUAGGAAAAUGUCCUCAUUCUUAAGGGAUGCAGGCUGAAGUCUUCAGCCAUUUCAUUGUAUAGGCUCAUGGAUAAAGCAUCAGUUAUGCUAGUAUCACUUGGUGAAUCUAGGUAAAGGGUAUACAGGUAUCCAUUGUACUAUAUUCUGUCACCUAUUCUGGAGGUUUGGAAAUUUGCAAAAUAAGUAUAAAUAGAUUACUGAGCCUGUACCACCUUCUAAAACCAGACAGCACCCACCCCCAGUUGAAAUACUGAUAGCUCUAAAAACUUAGUAAAACCUUUGUUAGGAUUAACAGGAGAGUAUAUGAAAUCAAAGCUUUUUUUGUUCUUGUAACAGUUUAUUCAUGGAGGACACACUGCUAAGAUUUCAGAUUUUAGCUGGAACCCCAAUGAGCCUUGGGUCAUUUGCUCAGUGUCUGAGGAUAACAUCAUGCAGAUAUGGCAAAUGGCUGAAAAUAUUUACAAUGAUGAAGAGUCAGAUGUCACGACAUCCGAACUGGAGGGACAAGGAUCUUAAACCCAAAGUACGAGAAAUGUUUCUGUUGAAUGUAAUGCUACAUGAAUGCUUGAUUUAUCAAGCGCCAAAAAGGCAUUGUAUAGUAGGAAAUGUAAGUGGGGUGGCUUAUGGCUUCUUUAUCCUCUGAUUCUAGCACUUUCAAGUGAGCUGUUGCGUACUGUAUCAUAUUGUAGCUAUUAGGGAAGAGAAGAAUGUUGCUUAAGAAAGAACAUCACCAUUGAUUUUAAAUACAAGUAGCAGGGUAUUGCCUUUGAUUCAACUGUUUUAAGUCCUCAUUUUCUCAAACUAAGUGCUUGCUGUUCCCAAAUAUGCAAGAAUAACUUUUACACUUUUUCCUUCCAACACUUCUUGAUUGGCUUUGCAGAAAUAAAGUUUUAAAAU
rnacentral:lncRNA from 1 species